AGGAGAAUUCCAGUUAUUUUUUUUUCCUUAUGCGGACGAACUAUUCAGUUAUAACCAUCUGAGAGGGGGUGAUUUUAAUGGAUCUAUUAUCUAAUUUUGGGUUAGAGUAACUUCUCAGUUCUGGGAGGGAACCGUAUUAUCAUCCAAUUGUGCUUGCAAAAUUCUAUAUCAAAUCGAAGGCAUAUCCUACUACCCAUAUGGAUCACUUGGCUGCUUCAAACAUCGAAAGACUAAGAUAUCCCAUUGUUCGGGGACAACUACCUAGAAUAUGACUGGAGGAAAGAGUGGCUCAUAAUGGAAGGAUACCUAUUAUCAUUGAUGAACAAUCUGGUGUACUUCUAGGAGACCAUCGAUCUGAUUUGGCCGGUGAAUGUCAUACGAUUAUUCAUGCUUUCGCUCCUUUGGGAUACAAGUCAUGGGAAACUAUCCCUGCACAAGAUAGGGACAUAUUAAUUGAACAGCUAAAGGAUAAUUUCAUACUAAACACCACAAGUCCAUCUGUUAGGAGAUUUCUGAAUUAUCGUAUGUCAAAAGGUUAUACCAACUUUAAGUGUGAAAUGCUGAUGCAUUUUAGAAAGUAUGCAAGUAUUGAAGAAGUGCGGGGUAAUCCUUUUGGAAACAUCUCACCAGCAAAUUGGUCUAGUUUGUGUGACCUCUUUGUUUUGGAGAGAAUUAAGGUGAACUAAAUGGUUACUGUACUUUGGAAGAUGUGAUGUAUAUAUUUUAAUACUCUUGCAGGAUCUAGCUUCAAUACUUUUCUUAAAUUUCAGAAGUGUCCUGAUUGUCAUGAGAAUUUUGAGGCUGUAAGGCCAUACAUUUUCAGGUUGAAGGGACGACAAAGUCUUCAAGGGCAUCCGUUGCCAGUUUCACAGGACGAAAAAAAUCAAUCUACACAUACAAAAGAUGGAAAAAUUAGUGAAGCCAACACAGGUUUUAGGCACAACGCACUCUGUUAAAUAUUGGUUCUUGAUCCAGCUGAUUCCCCAACCAUUUAAGAUCCAAAAGCUGCUUAGUGCUUAGUUUUGAUGUUACUCCUUGUUUUUAGUUAAAGUUAAAUGAGUAUUAGUUUUCUUCAGUAUUUUAGAAGUGUUCUUCAGAAUAGUUCAAGCCAUGAGUGCAAUUAUUGCUUAAGUUAUUGGAAUAUUAAUCAAUGUAAAUG